UCUGUCAAUGGUACCGGAGCGCAGCGAGGAUAAGAAAUUGACAGAUGAACUUGU
rnacentral:sRNA from 1 species